UGGGGAAUAUUGGACAAUGGGCGCAAGCCUGAUCCAGCAAUACCGCGUGUGUGAAGAAGGCCCUAGGGUUGUAAAGCACUUUCAAUUGGGAGGAAAAAACAAGGGCUAAUACCUCUUGUCUUGACAUUACCUUUAGAAGAAGCACCGGCUAACUCCGUGCCAGCAGCCGCGGUAAUACGGAGGGUGCAAGCGUUAAUCGGAAUUACUGGGCGUAAAGCGUGCGUAGGCGGCGCGUUAAGUCAGAUGUGAAAGCCCUGGGCUCAACCUGGGAACUGCAUUUGAAACUGGCGCGCUAGAGUUGAGUAGAGGUAAGUGGAAUUUCAGGUGUAGCGGUGAAAUGCGUAGAUAUCUGAAGGAACACCAGUGGCGAAGGCGACUUACUGGACUCAAACUGACGCUG
rnacentral:rRNA from 1 species